rnacentral:lncRNA from 1 species
UAGUUCAAAGAUUAAAUAUUAGGAUGGUAAAUGAUCAUGCAUGAGAAUUAGUAGAUAACAAUCCUUGAGUCCUUAAUUAACAUUGCCUAUAACAAAUAAACAGACGCGAAACAAUCUCAUACAAACAAUUGGUCUACAGAAAAUUAAAGCCAAACAAAAUCAAAUCCAAUCGAGUUUCGAUGAGAGAGGGAGAGAAAAAUUAAGGGAAAAAACAACAACCGGAGAGUCGACAUCCUCUCAUGUCGAUUCAUCCGUGCAUCCAUCCAUCCAUCCAUCAAUCAAGCUAGCCAGCAACCUGCACAUAUAUAAUUAAAUCAUAACAAUAGUCAUGAAAUUCAAUUAUCCAUCUAAAUAUAUAUUUGCUCGUCUAGUUAAGUUAACUGCACGGAAACACAGUUUAAAUAAUGUACACUUAUAUAUGUUAGUUUUAAUAUAUAUGUAUCGUAUAAAUACAAAUUAUAUAGAAUGUGAGACGUACGGAGAAAUAUAUUCAACCAAAUAGGUGCAUAUAUGUCCUCUAAAAGACAUUCAAGCACAGUAUCAUAAAUAAUAAAAUUUAAUACUCCAUCAAAAUAAUUAGAGAUAUAUUUUGAUUUUUUAAAUAGUAUGCUAGCUUUACUUGGUUUAUAAAAUUUAAUUAGAUCAAACAAUUACAUUCUUG